GUUAAGUCAGAUGUGAAAGCCCGGGGCUUAACCUCGGAAUUGCAUUUGAAACUGGCAGGCUAGAGUCUUGUAGAGGGGGGUAGAAUUUCAGGUGUAGCGGUGAAAAUGCGUAGAGAUCUGAAGGAAUACCAGUGGCGAAGGCAGCCCCCCUGGACAAAGACUGACGCUCAGAUGCGAAAAGCGUGGGGAGCAAACAGGAUUAGAUACCCUGGUAG
rnacentral:rRNA from 1 species